UACGAAGGGGGCUAGCGUUGCUCGGAAUCACUGGGCGUAAAGGGUGCGUAGGCGGGUCUUUAAGUCAGAGGUGAAAUCCUGGAGCUCAACUCCAGAACUGCCUUUGAUACUGAAGAUCUUGAGUUCGGGAGAGGUGAGUGGAACUGCGAGUGUGGAGGUGAAAUUCGUAGAUAUUCGCAAGAACACCAGUGGCGAAGGCGGCUCACUGGCCCGAUACUGACGCUGAGGCACGAAAGCGUGGGGAGCAAACAGG
rnacentral:rRNA from 1 species